AAAAAAAAAAUCUUGAAGCCCAAAUCUUUGAUGCAAAAAAUUUAUUUCUUCUUGAAUUCCCGCUAAGUUCAAGAUCCUCUUCAACGGGAUAUAAAUUUUGAGGCAAGAAAGUACUUUUUUUAUCAAGUGAAAAAAUGGGAAAAAGAGAUUGGAGAGCCCGAGACUUGAUUCGGAAAUUUGAUUAGCGAGCGAUCGAGGUACAGACGUUGGUUCUGGUGACUCGCUAGUGUAGGAUACAUUCUGCUACUCUGGAGUGCUCCUUUGACUCGGAGCCCAUAUUUGUGUCUGUUGCGUUCGCCGUUCGUCAUGAUUUGAGGUAUCGCUGUGGUGGUGAGUUAAUUCGUUCUAUCCUAGGAGGAUAUAUUCCAUAAUCUCAGGUACAUUAAGGGAAAUAAUUUCCAUAAGGACACACUGUGAAUUCAGUGGACUCGAAUUUAUUUUCCUCUCUUUCCAGAUUUUGUUUUAGAUUAUUUUUCGAAUACUGAAAUACAACAGAUCUUACCAAAUUUUUAAUAGGAUUUAGGCCAAACCCAUCGACAAACACCUGUGGUCAUCCACUUCUUUCAGUUGAACACCCAAAGUGGCCCUUG